GUUUCACAGCUACUUCUAUGUAUGUGUGGGGCCGGAUCAGAAGACUACGUUCGCUCAGGAGUCAGGAUUGCAGCAGGAGAAAGAACACAACAACAACUUCUGGAAAAGAAAACUCAACAGAAAGUAAACAACAAAAAUGCACAGUGUGAUGAACAACUUCCAGAUUCUAUGAAAUGGGAUGGCUCGCCAGUUUCUGCAACCGUGUGUCUCUCUCUCUCUCGAUGGACAGCAGAAACAAUUCUUCCAAACGUCAACAAAACUCCAGAUCCAGAAUCAGCAUUGCUCUCAGGAACAUCAAUAAACAAAGAAGAGAGAAAAAAAAAAGAAAAGAAACCAACAAAAAAAACCCAACCUUGCAAAACAAGGCAGAAAAUUACAAUUAAUAUCAGAGCUCUCAAUAUCAAAAGCAUAUUUCAGUAACACACUGAAAAAAUGUACAAUUGCACUCACAAUAUACACAUCUCUUUUUCUUUAAACACAUUUCUCAUUAAAAUACAACAACUGAUUUGCUCAACUUACUCAACCCAUAUAAAUCAAUGCGUUAGCCAUUAGCUAAGACCGCAUGGUUAGCAUAACUCCCUGUGCUUAGCAUCACACUUUCAGCACAUAUUAUUGACAUAAAAUAACCAUUUGACCACAAAUCAACAUAUAUACACAUAUAUUUUUCUUCUAAAACAUUGAACAGAAAUAAAGCAUAAUUUAGACGUUUGUUUUGUAGUGAAACACUACACUAACUAAUUUA